rnacentral:lncRNA from 1 species
AUGGUUCCUUGUAUUUCUAGAAGUUUUACCUCUAGCUCAUCAUCUCUAGUUUUUAAUGAUCUAAUCUCAUUUUUAAGAAUCGUAAUUUCUUCCUUUAGAUCUUUUAUUGUUAUAGUUCCUGGCGAGGGUUUUUUAAAUAGAUCCAUAACAUCUUUAAAUUCCACUUUAUGUAAUUCUUUUCUAGUUAUUUCAUUAUCAUCUAUAAUAUCUUUA